rnacentral:rRNA from 1 species
UCUAUGGUUUGUAAACUUCUUUUAUAGGGGAAUAAAGUGGAGGACGUGUCCUUUUUUGUAUGUACCCUAUGAAUAAGCAUCGGCUAACUCCGUGCCAGCAGCCGCGGUAAUACGGAGGAUGCGAGCGUUAUCCGGAUUUAUUGGGUUUAAAGGGUGCGUAGGUGGUGAUUUAAGUCAGCGGUGAAAGUUUGUGGCUCAACCAUAAAAUUGCCGUUGAAACUGGGUUACUUGAGUGUGUUUGAGGUAGGCGGAAUGCGUGGUGUAGCGGUGAAAUGCAUAGAUAUCACGCAGAACUCCGAUUGCGAAGGCAGCUUACUAAACCAUAACUGACACUGAAGCACGAAAGCGUGGGGAUCAAACAGGAUUAGAUACCCUGGUAGUCCACGCAGUAAACGAUGAUUACUAGGAGUUUGCGAUACAAUGUAAGCUCUACAGCGAAAGCGUUAAGUAAUCCACCUGGGGAGUACG